CAGCUGCGCCUUCAAAGUCCCUCUAAGCUCACUGCUCUUCCUCAGUUGGACUCACAGAAGCUCCCAGGAGACAGAACAAUGUUAGAAACCAGGACUCUCCAGGGUUCAUCCCUCCCUGCCCUCCUGCUGUGCUUGUCUCAUGGGCCCAGCAGAGGACACGUGUGUGAGCCAGAUGGAGGAUGACUGCUGUGUUUGAGCUUCCUCAUAAAGCUUCAGCUCAAACACAGACUGUAGGAACAAGCAGGCUGUGUGUGCAGCAUGAGACCAUGAGUCCAGGGAGAAUCUCUGACCAGAAUGCUCCUCUUUACACAAAGCCAUGUGCAGAAUGAAGGUGUGAUCUGCAAAUGAAACCAGAGAGGUGCUGCAGCAGGCUCUGCUAAGCCGUCACAUUGAGAGCUGAUACCUGACAGGUAAUCCAGAAGACACUGGAGACACCUGAGGGAGGACUGAUCCAUGGAGAUUUGCUUUCUUCUUCCAUCUUAUGCCAAAAUGCAAAAAUAUCCAAUGUGAUGCAAUACAUCCAAACAUUAUAAAUCCUGUAUUGAUGCAAUGUCUCAGAUCAAUGUGUUGUCUUCAAUAAAAGAAAGUUGGACUCAG